UACGUAGGGCGCAAGCGUUGUCCGGAAUUAUUGGGCGUAAAGAGCUCGUAGGCGGUCUGUCGCGUCGGAUGUGAAAGCCCGGGCUUAACCCCGGGUCUGCAUUCGAUACGGGCAGACUAGAGUGUGGUAGGGGAGAUCGGAAUUCCUGGUGUAGGCGGUGAAAUGCGCAGAUAUCAGGAGGAACACCGGUGGCGAAGGCGGAUCUCUGGGCCAUUACUGACGCUGAGGAGCGAAAGCGUGGGGAGCGAACAGG
rnacentral:rRNA from 1 species